rnacentral:tRNA from 1 species
UUCCUAGUAGCUCAGACCGUAAAGAAUCUGCCUGCAAUGCAGGAGACCCAGGUUCGAUCCCUGGGUCGGGAA